CUGAGGCUAGGUCAUUAAAUCUAUCUUUUCCAUAGAUCAUGGGAAUACUUGCUCUGGAUCCUUAAGCAAUCAAAAUGACCUGAGGCCAAUGUGCUGCGUGGAAACUGACCUAGCCUUGGUGAAGAGGCCACAUGGAGAAGCCUUGAGACUGCAUGAAUCCAAAGAUGCCCAGCUACCUCUGUUUCAGCCAACCUGUGACUAUAAACUCAGGAGUGACCUUGAGGUGAUACAAGCAUCUAAGGACUUUCAAAAUAAUGAUCCAGAGAGACUAUGAGAUAUAAUAAAAUAAUUACUGGUGUUUUAAGCCACUAAUACUUGGGCUGAUUUGUCACACAGCAAUAUAUAACCAUGUUUAGAUCACUUAGGAACUGUUGCCAUAUGCACUGGGAGAACAUCCUCAGUGUUUUUAUCCCUGGUUUGUGCUGGGAAAGGGGCAUCCUCACCCUCCCAGACUUCUGAGAUUGUGGAAUCUGCUGCCUAUUGUUGGACUAUGACCUUGAGCCCGCCAUUCCUGUUUUGUGCACUUGAACUAUGUUUCUUAUUGAGCUGUCAGCAUGUUGGAGUGUCACAGGUGGCGAAACACACAUUUGUCAGUUUAUGGCGACUGUCUCCUGCCCUAUAAGGUGGUGACUGUCUCCUGCCCUAUAAGGUGGCUUAGUGGAGAGCUAGCUCAUUAGGAGGAGACAAGGUCACUAGGUAUAGCUAUACCAAGACUAGAAGCUCCCUUGUCAGGUUGUCCCCACAUGUUCUCUACUUUCUCCUUCCAUUUCUUGAUAAAUAUUUCUGGAAGUAUGGAGAUACAGAUCUCACUUCUGCAGCACAUUCUAUGGAAUAUCCACUGUACAGAGCCAACCAUACUGUCUGUAAGAGUGCAAGGAAUUCUAGGCUUCUUGUUGCUUCCCUACUUCCAAAUUUUUCUCAACAAACCUCACUUGAGGCUUAUAGUAUCUGCUAUUUGAGAUGUCUUAUGGUGUUAUGUCUGUGCUUCUUACAACGCCAAGGUAUGGUCCUGCUGCAUAUUCUGAAAUUUAACCAGUCUAAGCUGGACUAAUAGUGACUGAAUAGCGGUCUCCUUCAAUGUUAGUUAUAAGAAUACUUUAUCAAAGAUAUCUUCCUGAAUUCCUAGCUCUGUGUCUAGUAUUUCAUUGAUAGAGAUUUAUCCAGUCAAUAUUUUUAAAAAAUAUUUAUUUUUUAGUUGUAGUUGGACACCAUACCUUUAUUUCACCUAUUUAUUUUUAUGUG
rnacentral:lncRNA from 1 species